GCGGCAGCGGCGCCGCCGCCGGCAGCAGCGCCUCUAUGAGGCGGCACACACACGCACGCACACACGCUUCACCUCUGAAAAUACCCACCAGGAUGUCGGGUAAACUUUUAAAAACAGCCCACCACAGUCAGGUUAAAAAAAAAAGUUAUAACAGCGUGACGUCAGCAUGCCUUUAUUUUGGCAAAGUUGAGACGGACGGUUGCAACUUUUUCUUCUUUCAGUUCGCACUUUUCUUUUUUAAUGCUUCGUUCUGGUCGAACUCUGCAGCCACGAAGAACCAGCGGCGACCAUGCGUCAACGGCAACGAAAGCAUGUGUGUAUCAUUCAUGGAAAGCCAUCUUCCAUAUUAAAAAUGCCACUGACGCUACAAGACGAGAAAUCAGAUCCGUGUCACGUGAGCGUCGGCCAGAGGUGACAACUCAAACGAGGGUCAUCCCCAGCGCAGAUAAUUCAGCGGGAAGGUGAGUCCGAUCUGUGUCUUUUGCUCGAUUCAUUUAUAUGCAAUAAAAAAGAGUAAUUGUCGGCUGAGGGAAAUGUUGAAUGAAAGACGGUUCCCGACAUUAAAUGGCGCUGAAUUGGAAAGCCACCAACGAGAGACGAAACGACACCUUUGGAAGUAUUUUAUCAUUUGAUUUUCGUCUCUGCGGUGAACAAAAUGAUCAACUUUGCUCCAAAAACAACACGUAAUGGCUUUUACAACACACACUGCUCGUGUCUCUGCUGUGAUGAAGUUGCUCCUCUGUUGCCGGCAACAACUUAAUUGUCUCCAACGCGCACGCGGGCGGCGUGCACGACUCACGAUACCCCAAGGUCUGGAUUAAUUAAGCUGUGAAAGCCCACGAGCAGAGAGCAUUCGACAGGUGCCUGUUUGCUUUGGUGUGGGACUUGUUUUUGGCAGUGGUGCAGUGGCUCGUUAUAAAUCUAUAAUUAAGUUACAAUUUUAUUUGCUUUUUUCCG
rnacentral:lncRNA from 1 species